rnacentral:misc_RNA from 1 species
AUUUGCAUGUGGCAAUGAAAAAAUUAAAGUUCCACUUUGGAAGCGCUUGCAUUUCUUAUUUUAUAUAAAGUACGAGGGAAAUUGUUUAAGUGUAUUAAAAAGCCAGAUUCAAGCCAAAUGUAUGCAAGAACUAGAGGAAGCCAUUAUUGUUACGAAGGAGAGUUAGACGAAAAUUUUCUAAGGAACGGCCAAGGCAUAGAGACCUUAUUUCCAAAAUCAGGAAAGGAAAGCUAUUAUGGAAAUUUUAAAAAUGACUUCUACCAUGGCAUCGGAAUUUACAAGAAUGAAAGGUUGUUUGGCUCCAAAUGGUCCUACGAAGGUGUAUUCAAUGUAAAUAAGAAACAUUGCUAUGGCAUCCUUUCAUUUGAAGACAACUCUAUCUUCCAAGGAUUGUAUAAGCACAACAUACCGUUUGGACCAGGAGUGUUGCAGGACUGUAACGGCCUAUCCAAUGUGGGAUUCUGGUAUGGGAAUGCGUUGAUUCGCCUUGUGCACGAAGUCGGAAAAAUGAACGAAUUAGGAACGACGAACAUAAACAAAAUUAAAGUUUCAAGAUUUAAAAAAUGGAUCCCAGUGUCUCCUGAAGAACAAUACUGCACACAUUUUUUAAUUAAAAAUUACAAUUUAUCAAAUAGAACAGUCGACUCCAUGUAUUCGCCACAUGCUCUCAAUACUGACAGUCCACUGUUUAAUACUUCAGAUUAUGAAAAUGCUUUUAUCGAUGAUCUUAGCAAUUUAUUCACAUUAAUUUCCAAGUUCAGUAGCACAAGUCUUAACAGUAAAAACAGCAUCAUGACUUCAAAUACAAAAUUAAGGUCAGAAAAAAAGUUGCAAUCCAUGACCGAUGAUGAGGUGAAGUUCAAAUUCAAAUUACAAAACAAAAAAGGCAAAGUUCAGACCAAAGCUGAUUUAAAAAUUAAUCCAUUGGCAAAAAGUGAGUCGUCACAAUUGAAACUUACAAUUGAGGACUCAGAAGAUAGCAUUUCAGGAUUUUUGCAUUCACAAAGUCUUGCUUCCAAAUUCAAAUCAAAAAAACCAAAGUCAACUAUACGAAAAAACAAAGAAAAUGUACAAAUAAAGAAACAAGAAACAAAAGUCUCGUCCAAGUCUAUGCGGAGGCGUAUUACAUUUAAAAAACCAGGAGAAAAAACAAGUUCAAAACGACACUUGGAUAAAUCAGAAAGUGAAGAACUAUUACAGUCAAUUGAUAAACAUACAUCAGACACAAGCAUAAGAAGUGAUCCAUCUUACAUAUUAGCUUGGAAUAAUUCUGACUUUAUGGUUGAUGUACUGAAGCAUUCAUUUUUAAACAGAAAAUACGAGAAACUCUCCCAAAUAGAAAUCGAACAUAUCCUUUGCUCGAGAAGGAAUUUUUUCUCAGAACAAGGAUUAAUUGAAAAGGCUUGCAUUGAACUGCUUACAGCCUGUUCGACUGGUGAUUUGCUAAAAGUUGCCGAUUUGAUGAACACAUACCGCCUCAAUAUCAAUGUGAGCGACAACAAAGGGAAUUCGUGUGUGCUUCGAGCAGCUGCCAAUGAUGAUACCGACAUGAUAACACUCCUCAUGAUUUUCGGUGCCGACAUCAACACCGUAAAUGACGAAGGGUUCAAUGCCUUAAACCAUUCGUUGACUCGAUAUCUGGCAAUAUUAAAUAGUGUUUCUGACUGGGGGGAAACAUUUCUUUCACCAAGUUCUUUCAGUCUUGGACACCAAGUGAAAGUGUGGAUGAAAUGCGCUAAAAAAGUGAAACAAGAUAGUAUUAUUGAAUUUAUCGAUGAACUGCAAGGGUCUGAAGUGUCCAAUCCACAACGAUAUAUUUUUCACUUCCCUUAUCCGCAUCAAGCUGUGAUCGCAACACCAGGUGACAUAAGUUCUUCAGCCGAUAAAAUCAAAAUAACCGAAAUAGAAAAGUUCAAUCAAAUAACUGAAACAAUAAAAACAAUAAUAGAGGUCGGAGCAAAUGUUAACUUAUCGCCUGUACCAUGUGGUUCAUUAAUAUUAGCUAUAUACACAGAAAACGAACAAAUUUUAGAAAUGAUCCUUAAGGCAGGAGUGGAUACAGAGCAAAGGUUGAGCCAAGAGGAAGGUGAACUGACGGCUCUUCACAUAUUAUGCUUGUUGCAACCAAAACCUGUAUUUCCCAACAUGGUGAAACGUCUUUUAGAAUAUGGAAUUAACCCAAAUACAAGGACGAAUUGUAACUUUUGGGAAAAAGAAUUGGAAUUCUUCCAUCACGGUCAAUUCAAAACAAAUUUUGAAAUAGUUGGAAUAAAUCCGAUGCACUGUCUCUGUUUACAUUCAGAUGUCCUGAAAAUAAAAAACAAAGAGAUCCUCAAACAAAUCUGUGCAAUAAUUUAUCCUUUAUCUGAGAAGGUGUUGCUUUAUGGCCAUUCGUAUUUAAGCUUGGCUGUAGCUAAAGGAAACAUAGCAGUGAUUGAAAGUUUACUGAAUCUCGACGCUGAUCCGAAUGAAAAUAUAGAUCCCAUUUGGGGAAACAUUUUGACAACAUAUCUGAAAUAUCAAGGGUCAAAAUCGACGACAGUUGCAAAACUAAUUUUGAGCCUUUUGAAGUCUGGAGGUGCCAAUCCUUUACACAUUGUACCUAUGGUGAAUAAUCCAAAUGGAAACACAAUAAACUAUGGGCUUAGACUAAUUCAGAAGCACAAUCAAACGACAAACCCGAUAGCAGACGCUACAGCAAAACAAAAUCUGAUAAUGUUCUUAGUUACACAAGGGACAGAGAACCAAAAGUCGUGGAAAAAUUCGAAUAAAGACUUUAACAAAAAAAGGAAGGGUGCAAAACAAGAUACACUGCACAAACGAAUUAUAGAACUACAGAAAUUUUCAAGAGAGAAAGUUGACAAAUACUUAAGAGGGUACAUAGUCAGAAAUCUGGUAAAUGAACUUAAAAAACAACAAUGCCCAAGUGAAAAUACAUUAAAACAGCUUAGCUGGCUUAACUGGGACACUUUUGACAAAGUUUUACUCACCAACAUAGAAAACGGUCUGGUAAAAAUUGACAUAGAUAUCAUUGAGAGAGCGCUGAACUAUGUUCCCAGGCCACUUUUACCAGAUGAGUAUGUUCCCCCAGAACAAUCACAAAUAAAAAUAACUGGCAAGAAAAGCCAAAAGAAGACUCUCGAUAACCAGUGGGGCGAGCAAGAUAAGCAAGAUGAGUCAAAAGAGCCAAAGGAGCCAGAGGAGCAUCAGACACAGAGGAAAAAGAAGAUCAAGUCAAGAAUCAUUUGUAAGCACAAGAAGCGUUAGACACAGGGGAUUAAAAAGAAAAUCAAGUCAAGACUCAUUCACAAGCACAAAAAGCUUUUCAUUUAAACCAGAUAAACGUGGGAGACGACUUUCUAUAUCUGGAAGAACAAGAAGUAAAACUAGUAUUAGGACACUUGAAAAAUCUCGUCAUGGAUCAAGAAUGUCCUUCAUGCCUUCAAUGAAAGAUAGCACGAGCCAAAUGUCAGUGUUUUCACAUAGUCGGAGAAGGAGGAAGCAUGGACUUACAAAAGAGGAACAGAUAUUAGCAUUAAUUAUAAGUGAAAAGAUUCAAGCAAUUCGUGAUGAUAUCAUUCAAAGAUACCAGAACCUUAUAAGCGAAAAAUACUCAUACAGUAGAGUCAUUUCAAUCUUGUACAAAAAGGAUAAGAUAACAUGGAAUGAAAAUUUGUACCCAGAAAUUGACACAAAGGAUGAAAUAUAUAAAGUUUGUUAUACCUGCUUGAAAAGAACUGAGGAUUUGCAACUUUGUACAAAGUGCGAUCUUGUA